GCUGGGGCAAAGCUGGGGCAAGGGGCAGAAUGACUACUCUACAGGAUCACCAAAACUUUUUGAAAUGACAGGAAGGUUUUGCAUACUGACUGGGAUCAGGAAACUUCAGAAGGCCAGUCACCCAGACGGAAUCUUGGAGCUUAUCCUAGAAGCCUCACUCUCCCUAAUGGCCAACUGGUUGCUAAGCCCUAUUCAUUCUACUCCUUACUAUAUUUUUAUA